rnacentral:misc_RNA from 1 species
AAGUCGUAACAAGGUUUCCGUAGGUGAACCUGCGGAAGGAUCAUUAACAAAAUCGCAUAAUUGGGGGAUACUGUUGUUGUUAUCUUGCUUGUGAAGAUACACCAGGGUGCCUUAAGGUACGGGUGAAUUUUGUGAAGCUGAGUCCCAACACAAAUUUCUCCUAUACGCUUGCGAAAGCUGUGUCUCUAGAGAUUAAUUUCUUUAGCGACGCGUAACAAACAAGUAACCUGGGGUACUUUAAGAUGAAGUGCUUUUAUAGUGCUUUGUUUUAGAGCCCUUCUAAUAAUCCCUUUUUUACCAUUUUACCCAUCAUAAACUAUAAGACUGAUAUGACAUGAUAAAUGUCAAAAACUAAAACUAUAAAACAACUCUUAACAAUGGAUAUCUAGGCUCUG